rnacentral:lncRNA from 1 species
CUUCUUCACAUUACAGCCUCUGGAGGCGGGUGCGGGCAUCCCUCCUGGAAGGGAAUCCAGGCUGGUUUAGGAGUCAAACAUGACGCUUCCAGCUUCUCCUGUCUGCAUCUACGAGAAGAGAGAAACUGAACUGUAGCAGUGUUUGCUGUACGAAUGGACAGUGAGUCAUGUGUUAAAGUUGUCCCUUUGGGGCUGGACUCUGCAAGAAGGCCAAGCCUGCAGCCCGCCUGUCUGGCUGGAAAAGGUCAACAUUCAACACAAACAAGCAAACCAUCCAUCC